UUUCUCAUUUCAUUUCUCUUCCCCAGACACAUUAAUUUAUUUCUCCCUCUCCACCUUCACUUGUAUGUAUUCCUCUACCUCUCCCUCUUCAGCGUGUUGUUAUUUUUUCCCUCUCAAUUGUCGCUCUCAUCUCCCUCCCCCUCUCCACUACCGCUCUCCUCACUGUCACACUCCUCUCCUCCUCUAUUGUUGCGAUCUCCCAAAGUAUGUGGCUGAACACACGCUUAUAUGCAACUUGCGACAAAUCUAUUGUUAAGAUGAAACAAAGAAAUUAAGGGAGAAAACCUUCGAAGUGUGUAAUUCAUUAUUAUGAUAAGAAUCUUACUACUACAAAGCUACGUAGUAGGGGACCUCUCCAAAGGUUCUUUGCCGAGAUCCAUGGCGGUUGGGGUUUGAUAUAAUCAUAUUGUGCCUACAAAAUAUGACAACGCUAUCAAAAUAUUGAGGUCAUUUAUAUUUUCCUACGUGGACACCUAUUUUUUUUUAUACUCUUGAUGGUUGAUUAAUUACGUAUGAAAAAAAUUAUAAUUUUUCACGUGA